AUGUCAGCGACACUACUGCCUGGAUUUGCGUCUUUGACUGUUUCAGACAGAAAAAUGAAAGCAAACUUUUCUCACGCCCCAGUGGGUCAGUCUUGUAAAGCAGGCGUCGGGGAGGCAUGGAGGCAUCUGUGCGCGGCCCCAACCAUCAGGCGAGAUGCAGCUCAGGUGGCAGCGGUCUCGCUCCCUCCCCCGCGGCCUGACCCAUCAGCAAAGGGCCGGACCCUCCCCAAAGCCGCUCGGACCCACCCGCGCGCCCGGAGCCGCGGGAGCGCUCGGCGGGCACCCGGACGCAGGUGCGCGCCUCUCCGCCCUCGGCCGCCGCGCAGGCUCCCCGCCUGGCGGGGGAAGGCAGCGCUCGUCUCCGCGCCGCCCGGCAGGAAGCCCGGGGAAGGCCGCCACGAACGCCUGCGCCCCGGAGAUCGCGCCCGGGAGUCCGGGCCCGUUCCUUUUCUUCUCUGGACUCGUUUGGUCUCCACGCUGCUUCUGUCACGACAGGUGCUGGGAAAACAGCAUCAAGAAGACAGAUAAAAAUCCCGGUUCUCAGGAAGCUUAUAUUCUGGUGGAUAGAGGCUGAAAACAAACAUAUUCAUUCCGCUGCUUCCUUGCUACUGAUGAAUAUUCACCUUGCUGUCAGCAUUGUGCUGUUAUAAAUGGUAUAAAGAUGAGGACCGGCAGGGCAGGAGGUGAAGGAAGCGGCUCAAGUGUACACAGCAGGUGGGAAGGAGCAGCUAAAGCAGAUCCAAGGUCAAGGAGCUGUCCAGGCAGAAGAAUUGUGACACCUCCGGCUGAACAGUGGCCCCCAACCGUCGCCAGGUCCUAAUCCCUGAGCUCAGCCUGAGCCUCAGCGCACCCUGACGUGCCCGCUGGUCCAGAAUCUAAUCAGGAGACAGAACCAACGCAGGUUACUUCCGCAGGGAGAGGAGUCAGAUGCUGGAGAAAUGAAAAGGUUUGAAGGCGCAUGCAGGUGUCCAGGAGGCAGUAACUGCAGAAACCAGGUGCCACCCUAGGGCUGGGGCGACCAAGGGAAGAGCUUGUCAGUAAGAAAACGGAACCCCGAAGGAGCUGUCCCCGGACUCAGACUCCGAUCUCAGCCUUUGUGAGGUGGUUGAUGCCUUUGACGGGGUGCUGACCCUAGAAAAGCUGCAAAGGGGGUUCAGCAGCUACUGAUGCGGUAAACUGCCCUCACUGGAAGAUGCGUGGCCGGGGCUCCGCUGAGGGACCAGGAAGCAGAAGCCAAGGAGAAGCCCUUCAGCCUUCAAGCCUCCCUCCAGUGUCUCCUCCUGGCCGGCAGAUUUGAGCCCACAGCCAGGUGCCAAGGGAGAAAGUACUUUUCCUGUGUUGGCUCAGCCCGAGCACCACUGGGCAGAGUCUGGAAGGGGGGGGUUGAGGCCAAGAAGUAGGAGCUUAAUCAUAUCUGGAGUGAAAGGUAAGUGACAUGCCCCCUCCCCUCCGCCGCCAGCCCCGCUCCCCUUCUUUUUUAGCCCAACGUUCUGGCUCCAAAGAAGCUUUGAGCUGGUUUCCAAUAAAAGCACAUACUAACCAG
rnacentral:lncRNA from 1 species